UCUUGGGGAGAUUCGAACUCACAACCUCUCGAUUGUAAGUGGGAGUUGCUUACCAUCAGAGCAACCCCUCUUGUCCUUUUAUGGGUGGAAACUAAACCGCUAACAAAAUUAAAGUUAGUACAAAUAAAAAUAACUGUCUAGCUAUGUCUUCGAAAUUAUGAGGAGCUGGAUCGAUCUGUGCAGUUUAAUAAACGAUGCCUAGAAACAGAGAAGCAACAUGGUCAUGGGUGACCAUUUGGAUGAAUAAGCACUGCUUUUGGCUCGAAACCAGGAAGCCAUUAGUUGAGGCAGGAGGAGUAAAC
rnacentral:lncRNA from 1 species